AUGAACGCUGGCGGCGUGCCUAAUACAUGCCAGUCGAGCGAACGGACGAGAAGCUUGCUUCUCUGAUGUUAGCGGCGGACGGGUGAGUAACACGUGGAUAACCUACCUAUAAGACUGGGAUAACUUCGGGAAACCGUAGCUAAUACCGGAUAAUAUUUUGAACCGCAUGGUUCAAAAGUGAAAGACGGUCUUGCUGUCACUUAUAGAUGGAUCCGCGCUGCAUUAGCUAGUUGGUAAGGUAACGGCUUACCAAGGCAACGAUGCAUAGCUGACCUGAGAGGGUGAUCGGCCACACUGGAACUGAGACACGGUCCAGACUCCUACGGGAGGCAGCAGUAGGGAAUCUUACGCAAUGGGCGAAAGCCUGACGGAGCAACGCCGCGUGAGUGAUGAAGGUCUUCGGAUCGUAAAACUCUGUUAUUAGGGAAGAACAUAUGUGUAAGUAACUGUGCACAUCUUGACGGUACCUAAUCAGAAAGCCACGGCUAACUACGUG
rnacentral:rRNA from 1 species